AUCAAUUCACGCCAGAAACCAUCCCUUGCUCUCUGCCGCAGCUUUCCACCACCAUUCUCCAUAAUUCCUGCCCCUAAACACCCUUUGCCGCACCACCCAUCAAUCCUAACCACUACCAUACCAUCCUCUAUCCAUUCUACACCAUUCAUAACCUCAGAAACCUGUCACCAAUCUUUGUGCCGCAGCAAGGAGGAAGGAGAAGUUCAUGGAUGCACCUACUGUCCAAGUUGGAGUGUCUAGGUGUUCUCUUUCUUUGGAUUUCAAUGUCUAAAUUUAUUUAUCUUUGCUUUGUGCGUAUGAGGAACUAAACCCCCCUUGGCUAGGGGGGAUUCGAAACCAUGUUUAUGCUUGCUAUAUGAUUUGAUUACUUUCAAUUGCGU
rnacentral:lncRNA from 1 species